UUCACUUUCACCAGGAUCGUGUCGUGUGUUCUUCUCUCCGUGUCAACCUCCGUCUGAAGGUAGAACGUUGAUGUGGAUUCAGCAGCAUGGACCAGAGGGAGGACAAAGAGGAGGGAGUCAGACAUCUGCAGGACGGGUUGACUGGUUUCAGUCAUUCACCUGAUCCCACCUGUGUUUCCCUAAGGAGUGAUCAGUCACAACAUCGCUACAUUCAUUUUAAAGGACAUCAACCCUCUGCUCCUGAGAGGAUCAGUCCAGACCCCAGCUGUGUGUCCCUCAACAGUGAUCGGUCCAAUGAUCGCCUCAUUGAUUUUAAAGGACAUCAACCCUCUGCUCCUGAGAGGUAAACCAGUGUCCAGCUUCAUCCAUGAGUCAGAGGAGACUAGCUCCUUUCUACAGUUUCCACUUUAACCUGUGGAGGUUGAUUUGAGAAGCAGGCUUUGGAUCAUAGGACACUGGUUUGAAUGGUAAUGACAGGUAGAACAUGUGUGUGGGUGGAGUGAAGAAGCCAUAUCCAUGGCUGCAGUAGCUAUGAGGACACUGCCUGUUAGUUAUUUAACAUAUUAUUCGAUGUCACUUUGACAACAGGUUACUGAAGUUAUUACAACAUCAAUUACUGUUUCUAAUAUUUCUAUUGUAUUCAAAAUGUCCCAACUACAAAAUAAAUCCUGAACUGAAAUUUCAAAUUGAUCAGAAUUAAAAGUUUAUGUCAACUAUAGGCUGUAUAUAAAAGAACCAGUUGAGUCUUGACAAGUAGUUGAAAGUUUAUCAAGUUAUGAUUUAAAUGGUUCUUAGAUAAAUAAUAUGAAAUAAACAGACAGAAAUACUGUUCAAUGAAAAAAGCCAAAGCAGUCAGUAUGGUGAAAGCCAACUUUCUUCUUCCAUGUAGCUGAAGUAGAAG